rnacentral:rRNA from 1 species
GAAGCUUGGGAAUCUAGAUGCUAGACAUUAGAUACUAGACGCUAGACGAGGAAAGGUAAGGCUGAGAUCUCAAUGGGAGGAUAUCGUGAUUUAAAGGUGUACGAGAGAUCGUAUACAGCGGCGAGAGCGAUUUACAAGAUGACGGAGACAUUUCCGAAAGAGGAAAUAUACGGCAUCACCAACCAAAUGAGAAGAGCGGCCGUAUCGAUACCGAUGAAUAUAGCGGAAGGGUACGAAACUAGACACUAGACUCUAGAUACUAGAGACUAGACGUGAAUAACGAAAGUUUAGUGAAGUAUUAGAUAAUGUAUAGCAAACGAAAAGACACUGGAAAAGAAGACAGAUGAAACAGCAAGAAGGUUGCUGUGAAAAGACAUCUAGAAUCUAGCAUCUAGCGUCUAGCAUCUAGGUUGGUAGGAGAGCGUUGAAUACGGGGUGAAGUCGCAGCGGAAGCGGCGGUGGACUGUAUUGAAGUGAGAAUGCCGGAAUGAGUAGCGAGAUUUAUGUGAGAAUCAUAAAGGCCGAAAGACUAAGGAAUCAGAAGGAAGGUUCGUCCGCUUCUGGUUAGCCGGGGGCUAAGGCGAGGCCGAGAGGCGUAGUCGAUGCACAUACGGUGGAGAAUCCGUAGCCGCCGAAAGAUUUAAGUAAAGGGACACUUUGGAAGGGCAUGACCCGGGCGUUGGUAGCCCCGGGCGAAAGGGACCGAAAUCAGAGUAGGGAAGCAUGCUUGGAAAGAGGCGAGAAAAGCUUUACGGAUAUCUAAGGCGCCCGUACCGAAAACCGACACAGGUAGUCAGGAAGAAGAUUCUAAGGCCAACGGGAGAAGGGUAGUUAAGGAACUCGGCAAAUUGACCCCGUAACUUCGGGAUAAGGGGUGGUGCGCAAGCACCCGCAGUGAAAAGGUCCAGGCGACUGUUUAUCAAAAACACAGGUCUCUGCUAAAUCGAAAGAUGACGUAUAGGGGCUGACACCUGCCCGGUGCCGGAAGGUUAAGAGGAGGAGUGAGAGCUCUGAAUUGAAGCCCCGGUAAACGGCGGCCGUAACUAUAACGGUCCUAAGGUAGCGAAAUUCCUUGUCGGGUAAGUUCCGACCCGCACGAAUGGUGUAACGAUCUGGACACUGUCUCAACUGCCCGCCCGGCGAAAUUGUAGUACCGGUGAAGAUGCCGGUUACCCGCGGCAAGACGGAAAGACCCCAUGGAGCUUUACUGCAGCCUGAUAUUGGGUUUUGGUAUUCUAUGUACAGGAUAGGCGGGAGACGGGGAAACUGUGACGCCAGUCACAGCGGAGUCGCCCUUGGGAUACCGCUCUUAGAGUACUGAAAUUCUAACCUGCGGCCGUGAAACCGGUCGGGGGACAUUGCCAGGCGGGCAGUUUGACUGGGGCGGUCGCCUCCAAAAGAGUAACGGAGGCGCUCAAAGGUUAGCUCAGCACGGACGGAAACCGUGCCUUAGAGUGCAAACGCGCAAGCUAGCCUGACUGCGAGGCUGACGGGCCGAGCAGGAACGAAAGUUGGAGUUAGUGAUCCGGCGGUAUGUGAAUGGAAAUGCCGUCGCUCAACGGAUAAAAGCUACCCUGGGGAUAACAGGCUGAUCUCCCCCAAGAGUCC